ACCCUCCUUGGGGGGAGAGCGGCGAACGGGUGAGUACCACGUGGGCAACCUGCCCCAGACACUGGGAUAACUCCGGGAAACCGGGGCUAAUACCGGAUACUCCGACCGGACCGCAUGAUCCGGCCGGGAAAGCUCCGACGGUCUGGGAUGGGCCCGCGGCCUAUCAGCUUGUUGGUGAGGUAACGGCCCACCAAGGCGACGACGGGUAGCUGGUCUGAGAGGACGGCCAGCCACACUGGGACUGAGACACGGCCCAGACUCCUACGGGAGGCAGCAGUGGGGAAUAUUGCGCUAAUGCGCGAAAGCGUGACGCAGCGACGCCGCGUGGGGGAUGAAGGCCUUCGGGUCGUAACCCCCCUUCCCCACGGACCAAUCCCAAG
rnacentral:rRNA from 1 species